rnacentral:rRNA from 1 species
AUACGGGGGGUGCAAGCGUUACUCGGAAUCACUGGGCGUAAAGCGCGCGCAGGCGGGCUGAUAAGUUGGAUGUGAAAGCCUACGGCUCAACCGUAGAACUGCAUCCAAAACUGUCAGUCUAGAGUGUGGGAGAGGAAGAUGGAAUUAGUUGUGUAGGGGUAAAAUCCGUAGAGAUAACUAGGAAUACCAAAAGCGAAGGCAAUCUUCUGGAACACUACUGACGCUGAGGCGCGAAGGCGUGGGGAGCAAACAGGAUUAGAUACCCCGGUAGUCC